GAUGAACGCUGGCGGCGUGCCUAACACAUGCAAGUCGAGCGAGAUAAAUGUGAGUGGAGACUUCGGUCAAAGCGAUCAUUUUGAAAGCGGCGGACGGGUGAGUAACGCGUGAGCAAUCUGCCCCAUACAAAGGGAUACCCACUGGAAACGGUGAUUAAUACCUUAUAAGACCACGAAGUCGCCUGGCUUAGUGGCCAAAGAUUUAUCGGUAUGGGAUGAGCUCGCGUCUGAUUAGCUAGUUGGUGAGGUAAUGGCUCACCAAGGCGACGAUCAGUAGCCGACCUGAGAGGGUGAACGGCCACACUGGAACUGGGACAGGGUCCAGACUCCUACGGGAGGCAGCAGUGGGGAAUAUUGCACAAUGGGCGCAAGCCUGAUGCAGCAACGCCGCGUGAAUGAUGAAGGCCUUCGGGUCGUAAAGUUCUGUCAGCAGGGAAGAAAAUGACGGUACCUGACUAAGAAGCCCCGGCUAAUUACGUGCCAGCCGCCGCCGUAA
rnacentral:rRNA from 1 species